rnacentral:misc_RNA from 1 species
GAUGAAGAACGUAGCGAAAUGCGAUACUUGGUGUGAAUUGCAGAAUCCCGUGAACCAUCGAGUCUUUGAACGCAAGUUGCGCCCGAAGCCAUUAGGCCGAGGGCACGCCUGCCUGGGCGUCACACGUCGUUGCCCCCCCAUCUACUCCUUCGGGAUUGCGGGGGGCGGAUGAUGGCCUCCCGUGCGCCUCGUCGCGCGGUUGGCAUAAAUGCCAAGUCCUCGGCGACGCACGCCACGACAAUCGGUGGUUGCGAAACCUCGGUUGCCCGUCGUGUGCGGUCGUUGCGCAUCGAGGGCUCGAAAAAAUUGCCGGGCUCCGGCUCGGCUUUCAACGCGACCCCAGGUCAGGCGGGGUUACCCGCUGAAUUUAAGCAUAUCAAUAAGCGGAGGA